UGCCUCAGUCUCCUGAGUAGCUCGGGUUGCUGGUGUGCUGCACCAUUCUCAAGAGACUGGCAGUUUUCAUCUAAAAUCAAUGAAAUGGACACAUUUGGUCCCAGAGAGGAUGAUGAAAUCCAGUUUGAUGAUGUUGGAGAUGAUGAUGAAGACAUUGAUGAUAUCUAAGCUGAACCCAAUGUGUUAUAUCCCGAGUAUUCUCAGGGUCGUUCUACAUUCGGGAUCUUGGUCGUCAGCUGUUAAGAGUAAGACUUCAUUUAGCUUGCCAAGGAAAGCAGAUUGGUUUGUUUGCAUUUUAAAAAGUAUUUGUUAUAUUUCUUUGAAGACUGAAGAUGUUGUGUUAACUGACAUGUGAAAACGUAGAUGUAAUGCUACCAUGUGCACUGAUAAACCAAUACUUCAUUUCUAGUAAACGAAUGCCAUCACUCAGUUGUUUCCCUUGUGACCAGAGUGGAUUUUAGCCGCUUUCAGAACCGUUAUGUUCUAAUUAUCUGGACGUUCUCUGGAGACUUUUUAAAUCUAAUUUAUAAAUUUUUAGAAUUCAUCAACAUAAAUCUGCAUUUGGAGUUGAAGAAUAUCGAUCUGUUUUUGAAAUGCAUGUACCCAUGUGUAUUCUUAAAACUUCGAUAUUUUAUACAUUCUUGUUUGUCAUU